rnacentral:misc_RNA from 1 species
GAUGAAGAACGCAGCGAAAUGCGAUAAGUAAUGUGAAUUGCAGAAUUCAGUGAAUCAUCGAAUCUUUGAACGCACCUUGCGCCCUUUGGCCAUUCCGAAGGGCAUGCCUGUUUGAGUAUCAUGAACACCUCAACUCUUUAUGGUUUUCCAUGAUGAGCUUGGACUUUGGGGGUCUUGCUGGCCUGCGGUCGGCUCCUCUCAAAUGAAUCAGCUUACCAGUGUUUGGUGGGCAUCACAGGUGUGAUAACUAUCUGCGCUUGUGGUUUUCCACCAAGUAACCUUCAGCAGUGGAGGUUCACUGGAGCUCACAGACGUCUCUCCUCAGUGAGGACAGCCCUUUGAAUGUUUGAUCUCAAAUCAGGUAGGACUACCCGCUGAACUUAAGCAUAUCAAUAAGCGGAGGA